AGAUGUUUGUUUUAGGAUUAGAUCACUUUUAUGUGCUGUUAAAAAACAAAACAUGUGGCAGAUAUUGAUUUCAAACUCAAACAGUUUUGAUAUUAAACUUAUUAAAUAUGCUUUCUUUGUAUUUUUCGAGUUAAGAUUUGAAAGGAUUUCCAAAUGAAUGCGUUCUGUUUUUACUGAGAUACAGCAAGCUUUGUCGGAAAUAGCGCCGCGUUAUCUAGAAGCAUUUUAAGAAGUCUCCUCUUUUUAUGGAUGAUUUGUUUUAAACUGCAAACAUGAAGAAUUAGUGAGUGAAUCUGACAGUUCAUACAUCUUCAACUUGUGCAAUUCAGUGCUUUGGCCAAGAAAACAGAUGGCAUAAAUGGAAAAUUAAAUCACAUUUGGAGAAGCCAUCAUGUUUCGGGAGUUUUUUUCCAGCCAGGGCAGCAAUGAGACUCGACCAAACUGACCUUUAAUUAGAGAGAAGCAUGAUAUCAUGGAGCCAUGCGAGGCUGUAUUCUAUGGGGACGCUCAGGGUAGGCUUCCUAAAGCUUGUUAUUAUAAGCUAUUCAGGAGACACGUUUUUUUUUUUUUUUAAUGUGUAGAAAAGCAAGGAGGAGGGGGUUGAGGGUUAUAUAUAAAAUGAGACCUGCAGAUUUCUACAUAGCCCAUAAUGGGCUCAUGCGGGUGACGGGGACGUUGGGGUGCAGUAGAUUUCCCAAGUUGAGAUAGGAUAUUAUUACUCUCGGGGUGGCAACACAGAAAUCUCCAUCUCUGUUCCCUAGUCUAGUGUCAGCAAAUUACUGAACACAGUGAAUGACCUUUACACGUGGAAAAGAAAACCUUUGCUGGUUUUUUUUUUUCCUUUAAUCAUUCAGGUGCAAAGUUAUUCACCAAGGUAUAAUUUUAGUCCAGGGGCUCUUCUUUCAUCCACUGAUUACCACUCACGACUACAAGAUUGUUACUAGAAUGUGUGUGUGUGUGCAUGAUAUUUUGCUCAUGAUAAGAUGAUCCAGUAUUUAUGGGGUCAACUUUAAAGCGAGAUGUGUCAUAAAGUAUACAUGAAACAAAGCGUGAACAGAGAAAUCACAGUUUUAAUGAACCUUUUCAAAAUGCCAGCUGUAAUGCUAUGCGUCCUACACUGGCUGCUCCCCCACAGAAAUCUGCCACAGCCAUCAUUCAUCUUACCCCACAACCCUCAGCAUGCAAUGUGCCACACAUUAAAACACUGUAAAAGCUGAUGGUUUUCACAGUUAGCAUGUGUUGCUGCUAUCUCCAGACUCUCAAUGAGUGUUUCAUCACCUAUUCCAUAAUUAGAGCAUUACUUUAGCAGGUGCACCUCUUCGCAGCUGGAGCAUGUGUUGUUGUUUUGGGGUUUUUUCC
ensembl:lncRNA